rnacentral:lncRNA from 1 species
ACGACAGAAAACUGACGUAUUUGAGAGACAAAUUUAACCAUAUCGAUCGAGACCUUUUUUUUCUUCGUAAAAGUAGAUAGUUUUUUUUGACACUUAAAAGCUUAUUCUCAUUAACUACCCCGAUAGUACACUUUAACCUAUCUGGCAGCUGCCUCACUCUUUUCUCAUUCAAUUCUCUCUACCAGCCUCACUCUUAAUCUCUCUCUGUGUCCCAGCCUCAUUCUUUCGAUCCGAACACCCAGCCUCACUCUUUCUCUCUGAAAGAUGAAUACCGAUCUCAACACCCUCCAUCCCCCGCCAUAGAUUGAUGCGAAACUUCUUUCUAAGGUUUUUUGCUAUUUUCUGGUAAGUUUCUUUCUACGAAAUUUUGGAUUUUAGGUUUCGCUGGGUUGGGUUUUGCUUGGUUGAUAUAGAGUUUUGCUUGGAUUUCCCUGAUUUAGGGUUUGCCCAAAUUGGAGCCGCGAGUCGGUCGCUCGGUCUUUCUCAGUUCUGCAGUAUUUCUAAAAUCUCGGCGUCGCUUCAAAUCAAAUUAGUGAGCGCUUCAUAUCUAUAUGUUGCUUUUGCAUUUCAGCAAUCUGUGAUAUAUAGUCUCUACAUCAGUAUACACCGUGUCUUAGAUUUUCACAAUUUUGGUUUGAUAUGAGUCUGGCAUUUUGUUGAUGUACGUGAUGGUUAGUGAAGUAUGUAGAGUUGUGAUGACUUUGGUAAAGUAUUAGUAAAGUCAAGUUUGCAGUACGUAGUGUGAUCCAUUUCUUGGUGGAGAGGUCACCUGAUGACUUUUACAGUGGUCAUCAGUGGAAUCCAUAAAUAGGUAUACAAUAUCCCUUUAAUUUUUAAGCAGCAUGAGUGUUGUAGAUGGUGAUGAGUUAGAAAUCUAUCUCUGUUAGUAGAAUGAAAGCCUUUUUGAGGCAUUUUAUCGAAUUAUUUUUGUUGAAAACACGAUUGCAUGGAAAAAAAAUGUUAAUUAGAAAGCAUAUGUGCUUGUUUACAGGGUUAGCUGGGUUUAGUCAUAGCACGAGGGAUUGAGAGAGAUGAGAUUAUGUCUCUCAGUCUCUGUACGUUUUCAUAGGUUAUUAGUGAAGAAAAGUUCAAAACUUACAUAACUAAUUAAUCCUGUUACUGAUGAAGCUUUGGCCUGCAUCUGUCUUUUUCAAAUCUCAGAUUCAAUAUUAUGCUUAUAUACUCAACAUUAUUAUUCAUGAAAUUUGACCAUUAUUCCAAGUAUCUUAUAUAUAGAUAUGGUGUUCUU